AUACGGAGGGGGCUAGCGUUGUUCGGAAUUACUGGGCGUAAAGCGUACGUAGGCGGACUGAUCAGUUGGGGGUGAAAUCCCAGGGCUUAACCCUGGAACUGCCUUCAAUACUGUCAGUCUUGAGUUUGGGAGAGGUGAGUGGAAUUCCUAGUGUAGAGGUGAAAUUCAUAGAUAUUAGGGGGAACACCAGUGGCGAAGGCGGCUCACUGGCCCAUUACUGACGCUCAGGUACGAAAGCGUGGGGAGCAAACAGGAUUAGAAACCCUAGUAGUCC
rnacentral:rRNA from 1 species